rnacentral:rRNA from 1 species
AACGAACGCUGGCGGCAGGCCUAACACAUGCAAGUCGAGCGAAGCCUUCGGGCUUAGCGGCGGACGGGUGAGUAAUGCCUAGGAAUCUGCCUGGCAGUGGGGGACAACGUUUCGAAAGGAACGCUAAUACCGCAUACGUCCUACGGGAGAAAGCAGGGGACCUUCGGGCCUUGCGCUAUCAGAUGAGCCUAGGUCGGAUUAGCUAGUAGGUGAGGUAAUGGCUCACCUAGGCGACGAUCCGUAACUGGUCUGAGAGGAUGAUCAGUCACACUGGAACUGAGACACGGUCCAGACUCCUACGGGAGGCAGCAGUGGGGAAUAUUGGACAAUGGGCGAAAGCCUGAUCCAGCCAUGCCGCGUGUGUGAAGAAGGUCUUCGGAUUGUAAAGCACUUUAAGUUGAGAGGAAGGGCAGUAAGUUAAUACCUUGCUGUUUUGACGUUACCGACAGAAUAAGCACCGGCUAACUUCGUGCCAGCCGCCGCGGUAAAAC